AUUCAUAGUAGUGACACAACUUCUUCUGAUGAGGAACGCUUUGAAAGAAGGAAAUCAAAGAGCAUGGCAAGAGCAAGAAAUAGAUGUUUGCCUAUGAACUUCAGAGCAGAGGACUUAGCUAGUGGUAUUCUCCGAGAACGAGUGAAAGUGGGUGCAAGCUUGGCUGAUGUUGAUCCAAUGAACAUUGAUAAAUCAGUACGGUUUGAUAGCAUAGGUGGAUUGAGCCAUCAUAUUCAUGCGCUAAAGGAAAUGGUAGUAUUCCCACUUUUAUAUCCAGAAAUUUUUGAAAAGUUUAAAAUUCAGCCUCCAAGGGGCUGUUUGUUUUAUGGCCCUCCUGGCACAGGUAAAACCUUGGUUGCCAGAGCAUUAGCUAAUGAAUGCAGCCAAGGAGACAAAAAAGUGGCUUUUUUUAUGCGAAAAGGAGCAGAUUGUUUGAGCAAGUGGGUUGGUGAAUCUGAAAGGCAACUUAGGCUUCUUUUUGAUCAGGCAUAUUUGAUGAGACCUUCUAUAAUAUUUUUUGAUGAAAUAGAUGGAUUAGCUCCAGUUCGCUCUAGCAGACAAGAUCAGAUCCACAGCUCUAUAGUAUCAACCCUCCUUGCCCUUAUGGAUGGAUUAGAUAAUAGGGGUGAAAUUGUUGUUAUUGGUGCUACAAACAGACUUGACUCUAUAGAUCCUGCACUCAGGAGACCUGGUCGUUUUGACAGAGAAUUCCUCU
rnacentral:lncRNA from 1 species